rnacentral:lncRNA from 1 species
CAUUUUACCAUAACGUGCAGUGACAAAUUACUGUCAUACAAUUUUCCUCUCCCCUGUCAUGGAACUAGCCACAAAUUAUUAAAUAAAGCAUUAAACUAGUAACAUUUUGUUUAUUCAAAUAACCGGGUUGCAGUACUAAUACUGGCAGGGGAAAAUGAAAACAUAAAAAACGACGAAUACAAAAGAUUAAUUACAUGAAAGAGAGCAAUAAAUUUGUCUGAGUCUUUUGCAACAUCAACAAUUGUUGGCCUAUAUACCGGUGAUUCGUUGAGACAUUCAAG